AGACGACGCACUUUUAUGUGCUCGCCGUCUCCUGGAGCGGUUUUUGCCCUUUAUAAGAUCAAUAUUGGAGAGAAAAAUCCCAUUAAAAUUAAACCAAACACCACUUGAGAGGAAACCUUUUGCCUUCAAAUUCGAAAUCCCUAGAUUCUUCCCGCCGGCUAUUAGACCUAUAAUACUUACAAGUUACACGAUUCAACCCGUCAUCCCUUCUCCCUCCUCCUCUCAAUUUAGCCCUUGUUGCGAGCCUGCGACCAUUCAGUCGAGCUAGAUUUUGCGAGAACUGCCGCCGCCUUUUGCCUCCCAUCAUUGUCAUCCGUCUCCCGCUUGCCAUCGCAGUCAACCCAUAAACGGAGUGAUAAGUUGCAGUUAUUUUGCCAUGGAGAGAGAGGAAGAAAACAUUUACUUGUUUUCUCUUGCUGGUUCUACUUUAUCAUAUGCUACCACCAAUAUGAUAAGGCGACGAUUUCAACAAACGGAUCCAUUUUGCAAAAGCAAAACGGUUCUGAAUUCAUGUGCCGAAAGGAAGGUUUUCAAGACACUGAGCUCUUUUAACUAAAGAAGAUUGCUACCAUAUUUGACGGACAUUGUGAAAGAAAAAUCCAGUGCUUCAGCUAUUGAAAUAAGAAUUUCCAAAUAAAUUGCAGAGUUAAGUGGUUUGAGUUCUAAAAUGCCUUCAUUGAUUGAAAAUGGUUGUGCUGCUAAACUUGAGUGUAUUGGAGCAUGGACUAAUCCUGCAGAUAGUUUCGAGUUGACUUUAAUAAUGAUGAAUUGAGUAGUAGUGUGCUCUCCAUGUUCUAGAGGAUGGAUAUGCAGUAGCAGCUCAUACAUGCUUGAGGUAGAAGGAAGAACUUUCUUGGGAAGAGCUUGGGGGGAUUAUUCACGAGUUAUAUAUUCGUAGUGUGAAUUUGAUGCCAUUGUAAGACCAGAAUGAUGGAAUAACUGGAGGAAACAACUAAAUGAACAUAUUUUUUUAAAAAAAAAAAAAUAAAUUUGACAUUUACGGCGUGCAUGCGCAUGCCGUAUAAAGUCGAUAUUCUUGCA